rnacentral:rRNA from 1 species
AACGAACGCUGGCGGCAGGCUUAACACAUGCAAGUCGAGCGCUCUCUUCGGAGGGAGCGGCGGACGGGUGAGUAACGCGUGGGAAUAUGCCUCUGGGUAAGGAACAACAACUGGAAACGGUUGCUAAUACCUUAUGACGUCUUCGGACCAAAGAUUUAUCGCCCAGAGAUUGGCCCGCGUCUGAUUAGGUAGUUGGUGAGGUCACGGCUCACCAAGCCGACGAUCAGUAGCUGGUUUGAGAGGAUGAUCAGCCACACUGGGACUGAGACACGGCCCAGACUCCUACGGGAGGCAGCAGUGGGGAAUCUUGGACAAUGGGGGCAACCCUGAUCCAGCCAUGCCGCGUGAGCGAUGACGGCCUUAGGGUUGUAAAGCUCUUUCACCGGUGACGAUAAUGACGGUAGCCGGAGAAGAAGCCCCGGCUAACUCCGUGCCAGCCGCCGCCGUAACAC